GACGAACGCUGGCGGCGUGCUUAACACAUGCAAGUCGAACGGAAAGGCCCUGCUUUUGUGGGGUGCUCGAGUGGCGAACGGGUGAGUAACACGUGAGUAACCUGCCCUUGACUUUGGGAUAACUUCAGGAAACUGGGGCUAAUACCGGAUAGGAGCUCCUGCUGCAUGGUGGGGGUUGGAAAGUUUCGGCGGUUGGGGAUGGACUCGCGGCUUAUCAGCUUGUUGGCGGGGUAGUGGCUUACCAAGGCUUUGACGGGUAGCCGGCCUGAGAGGGUGACCGGCCACAUUGGGACUGAGAUACGGCCCAGACUCCUACGGGAGGCAGCAGUGGGGAAUAUUGCACAAUGGGCGGAAGCCUGAUGCAGCAACGCCGCGUGCGGGAUGACGGCCUUCGGGUUGUAAACCGCUUUCGCCUGUGACGAAGCGUGAGUGACGGUAAUGGGGAAAGAAGCACCGGCGAACUACGU
rnacentral:rRNA from 1 species